rnacentral:rRNA from 2 species
CAGCCGCCGCGGUAAAACCAGCACCUCAAGUGGUCAGGAUGAUUAUUGGGCCUAAAGCAUCCGUAGCCUGCUUUGUAAGUUUUCGGUUAAAUCCAUACGCUUAACGUAUGGGCUGCCGGGAAUACUGCACAGCUAGGGAGUGGGAGAGGUAGACGGUACUCGGUAGGAAGGGGUAAAAUCCUUUGAUCUAUUGAUGACCACCUGUGGCGAAGGCGGUCUACCAGAACACGUCCGACGGUGAGGGAUGAGAGCUGGGGGAGCAAACCGGAUUAGAUACCCGGGUAGUCCCAGCUGUAAACUAUGCAAACUCGGUGAUGCAUUGGCUUGAUGCCAAUGCAGUGCCGCAGGGAAGCCGUUAAGUUUGCCGCCUGGGAAGUACGUACGCAUGUAUGAAACUUAAAGGAAUUGGCGGGGGAGCAC